AUUGAACGCUGGCGGCAGGCCUAACACAUGCAAGUCGAGCGGAUGAAGGGAGCUUGCUCCUGGAUUCAGCGGCGGACGGGUGAGUAAUGCCUAGGAAUCUGCCUGGUAGUGGGGGAUAACGUCCGGAGACGGGCGCUAAUACCGCAUACGCCCUGAGGGAGAAAGUGGGGGAUCUUCGGACCUCACGCUCUCAGAUGAGCCGAGGUCGGAUUAGCUAGUUGGUGGGGUAAAGGCCUACCAAGGCGACGAUCCGUAACUGGUCUGAGAGGAUGAUCAGUCACACUGGAACUGAGACACGGUCCAGACUCCUACGGGAGGCAGCAGUGGGGAAUAUUGGACAAUGGGCGAAAGCCUGAUCCAGCCAUGCCGCGUGUGUGAAGAAGGUCUUCGGAUUGUAAAGCACUUUAAGUUGGGAGGAAGGGCAGUAAGUUAAUACCUUGCUGUUUUGACGUUACCAACAGAAUAAGCACCGGCUAACUUCGUG
rnacentral:rRNA from 1 species